UAACAUUACUUUCAAGCAAAUGGAAUGGAUAUAAAUAAGAUGAGUAAUAAAGAAAAAGCAAGAGGUGGUAAAUCUUCAAAACAAAAAGUUGGUAUUGUCAUAUAAUUUAGUGUAGUCUAUAACACAACAGUGAAGUGUCAAGAAGAUUCUACAAAUUCAUUUAUUUUCAAUGAUCUUAUUGUUUUGAUUUUUGAUAAGUUCAAGUAGGCGAGAGAAUUCAAACAUAGGGAUUUCGAUUGUAGAGAAAUUUGGGAUUUGAUGUCCACGUCUCCCUAAUUCAAAGGAUAAGAACGUGGGAUGAUUAUCUUAAAGCAGUACAGCCCUGUCACCACCGCCGUGUCAAACCCAAACCCCAAGCUGAAAUGAGGAAAACAUGGAUGGAAAUACGGCUGUUUUACAAGAAUUAAAUGAUAAGAAAAUUAGUUUAAUAAAUUAGAGAAAGAUUAGCCCAGUAAUUCGAAGUGCUUGCUAAUUCUAUAUAAAUUGGGCUUAUAAGACCCAAUGUGUUCAUAAACAGGCUUCUAAAAGCUAUAAGCAUCUUGUGUUCUUUUUCCAUUUAAAUUUUCCUACCUAUUUUCUUCCCCCUCCACCACCUCUUUUCCCUUCCAACCCCACCAGCCCCCUCUUCUUUUCCAUUCUAAUGAAUCUUCUAUGUGAAAUCUACAAUUGUCCUGAUCAUCUUCUCUGUGUCUUCUUAAUGAAUCUUGAUUUGAUACAAAAACAUCAAGCUGCUAAUAAACUUGAUAGAGGGUUAUGUGAUCAAGCUUUGAUAUAACUUACUUAUCAUACGUACCUAUAUACAUACAUAAAAGAUAAAAUAUUGUUGGGAAAUUCAAACAGGAAAUUAAAGGUUAUAUAGUAAUCAGGAUGUCAGACUUACACCAUUAACCAGACAUGGUUAUUAGUAGUUUGAGAUGUUUACAAUUUGUCUUCAAGAAGAAUCAACACUCUGAUGGUAACUAUAAUAGAAUAGACAGUGCUUAUAGGUAAUCACUAGUACUAUUUUGGGGAGAGCUUCAGGAUUCUCCAUAUAAAUCCAGGGCCUAUCAAGUAGGAUUAAUCCCUAGAAGAGAUGUCUAAUGAGAACAUCCAAGUGUAUGAAUUGGGCAAAGCAAUCAAGUGGUAUAAAUAUUAAACAAAUUCCUGAACAUCUCAUGUUCUGCACAUGUGCUUCAUGUUCUGCACAUAAACCCAGAAGACGAGGAGUAGGGAAAAAGAAACUAAUAAGUGUCUGGUCCUAUAAUUCCUACGCCUAAAAUCUGUUACCACCAUCCUGGCCUUUACUCCACAUGGUUGAUCUUGAUAACGAGAGGAUCUGCUCAUACAUGACAAUUUGAACAAUUGCCGAUUGGCCGUUAGUUGUUAAUUAAUCAUAGUACCAAACGCCUUAUCAUUCUCUCUAAAGUCAAGAUUAUUUGGACAAGAUUUGCCUCUAUUCUUAUGUUUUUU
rnacentral:lncRNA from 1 species